rnacentral:rRNA from 2 species
UGCAUAUCAAUAAGCGGAGGAAAAGAAACCAACAGGGAUUGCCUCAGUAACGGCGAGUGAAGCGGCAAGAGCUCAACUUUGGAAUCGCUCCGGCGAGUUGUAGUCUGGAGGCGGCCGGUCCGCCUUGCGCAACCACAUCUAAGUCCUCUGGAACGAGGCGCUUGAAAGGGUGACAGCCCCGUGGAUGUGUGUUGUGCUUGGCCCCUGGUCUGCCGACGAGUCGAGUUGUUUGGGAAUGCAGCUCUAAGUGGGUGGUAAAUUCCAUCUAAAGCUAAAUACCGGCGAGAGACCGAUAGCGAACAAGUACAGUAAUGGAAAGAUGAAAAGCACUUUGAAAAGAGAGUGAAACAGUACGUGAAAUUGUUGAAAGGGAAGGGCUUGCA